AAAUAAAAAUAAUAAAGUAAUAAACAAAAUUGUGUUGAAAAGAAUAUUUGCUUGCAUUCUUUGAAUGCGUACAUAACCUUGACAUAACCUUAAUCGAAUCUGUCAGAAGCGAAAUCCGUUUUAGAAUUUUCACAUACUUUUCAGAAAUCCAAGAAUUACGGAUACAAUAAUACGUCUAUAUGAGAAAUGUAUUGUGCACAAUUGUCAAGCUUACCAAGGAAUUGUAUGUUUCCACUUUUUCUUCCAAUUUGCCAGCCAGCCACAUUCUUUCUUCACGUUUUAAAAGCAGGUCUAGCACAUCUUUGCGAGUUCAUCGAAGACUGCGAACAUAUUUCCCUCGCUGUUCACAUUUUGCAUUUGCUUGGGCAAGAAGGGCCAACUUCCAAGCAGCCAUCCAGAUACAUCCGUUUCAUUUAUAAUCGCGUGUUCCUGGAGAGCGCUGCAGUGUCCUCCAUUGUUACCAAACGUAUUCCUUCGCACAGACAGUGGACGAAUGAUUGAAAGCUGUAGAUCAGACAGUUGACAAAAAACGAAGAAGUUUAAUACGAGAACGAUGCAUCAUAGAUCGGUUACUAGAUAUACCACAGUUGGAGGAAUUGAUUUGCAAUUCGAUACUAGUCAAAUCAUCGCCUGAAUUCGAUCUAACAGAAUCGGAGACAGAAUACAUACAUAUGCAGACGCAUUCCCGCCAUUAUGAGCGAAGCCAAGCUGAUCGCAAGCGAACCAGCGAACUGCAGUUUGCAGCUAUAUUGGACAUAAGCACAGCAUGGACAUUGAAGUCAUGAGCAGCGAGGACGUCGGAGUGGAUAAAUCAAUUUAAUAAACACGUGUACGUAUAUACUUCAUUAGAAAUGGAUUUUUUGCUGUAUACCACUAUAAAAUGGAAAAUAAAAAAUUUGUUUCCUAUAUUAA